UUUUUUAAUUAUGAUUACUUCAUGUCUCAGGCCAAAUUAGCCAAAUCAUUUCCAAAUUCCAUUGACUGAGCAGAGUUAGAUUUGUUGAGGUCU